AAACUCAAAGGAAUUGACGGGGACCCGCACAAGCAGCGGAGCGUGUGGUUAAUUCGAUGCUACACGAAGAACUUACCAGGUUUGACAUGCAAGUGGUAGGAAACUGAAAAGGACGACCCUUCGGGAGCUUGCACAGGUGCUGCAUGGCUGUCGUCAGCUCGUGUCGUGAGAUGUUCGGUUAAGUCCGCUAACGAGCGCAACCCUCACUGUGUGUUAUAUGUGUCACACGGGACUGCCGGUUUUAAGCCGGAGGAAGUGGGGAUGACGUCAAGUCAGCAUGGCCUUUAUAUCCUGGGCUACACACACGCUACAAUGGUCGGUACAAUAGGUUGCCAAGCCGCGAGGCGGAGCCAAUCCAAAAAAGCCGGCCUCAGUUCAGAUUGUAGGCUGCAACUCGCCUGCAUGAAGAUGGAGUUGCUAGUAACCGCAGGUCAGCAAUACUGCGGUGAAUACGUUCCCGGGUCUU
rnacentral:rRNA from 1 species